UACGUAGGUGGCAAGCGUUGUCCGGAUUUAUUGGGCGUAAAGAGCUCGUAGGCGGUUGAGUAAGUCGGGUGUGAAAACUCUGGGCUUAACCCAGAGCCGCCACCCGAUACUGCUCUGACUUGAGUUCGGUAGGGGAGCAGGGAAUUCCUAGUGUAGCGGUGAAAUGCGCAGAUAUUAGGAGGAACACCGGUGGCGAAGGCGCUGCUCUGGGCCGAUACUGACGCUGAGGAGCGAAAGCGUGGGUAGCAAACAGG
rnacentral:rRNA from 1 species